AGCUCCAAUAGCAUAUAUUAAAGUUGCUGCAGUUAAAAAGCUCGUAGUUGGAUUUCUGGGAGCAGUCGCCGGUCGGGGGCCUUUAGUGCCCUGUGUACUGAGAGUGAUCUGUGCCCAUCCUUGUGGAGAGCAUGUUCUGGGCUUUGUUGUCUGGGCAUGGGACCUGCAUCAUUUACUGUGAAAAAAUUAGAGUGUUCAAAACAGGCGUUGAGUGCCGUUGAAUAUAUUAGCAUGGAAUAAUGAGAUAGGACUUUGGCGCCUAUUUUGUUGGUCUUGCGUGCCAGGGUAAUGAUUAAGAGGGAUAGUUGGGGGUAUCCGUAUUCGGGUGUCAGAGGUGAAAUUCUUGGAUUACCGGAAGACGAACUAGUGCGAAAGCAUUUACCAUGGAUGUUUUCAUUAA
rnacentral:rRNA from 1 species